rnacentral:rRNA from 1 species
GAUGAACGCUGGCGGCGUGCCUAAUACAUGCAAGUCGAGCGAACGGACGAGAAGCUUGCUUCUCUGAUGUUAGCGGCGGACGGGUGAGUAACACGUGGAUAACCUACCUAUAAGACUGGGAUAACUUCGGGAAACCGGAGCUAAUACCGGAUGAUAUUUUGAGCCGCAUGGUUCAAAAGUGAAAGACGGUCUUGCUGUCACUUAUAGAUGAAUCCGCGCUGCAUUAGCUAGUUGGUAAGGUAACGGCUUACCAAGGCAACGAUGCAUAGCCGACCUGAGAGGGUGAUCGGCCACACUGGAACUGAGACACGGUCCAGACUCCUACGGGAGGCAGCAGUAGGGAAUCUUCCGCAAUGGGCGAAAGCCUGACGGAGCAACGCCGCGUGAGUGAUGAAGGUCUUCGGAUCGUAAAACUCUGUUAUUAGGGAAGAACAUAUGUGUAAGUAACUGUGCACAUCUUGACGGUACCUAAUCAGAAAGCCACGGCUAACUACGUG